rnacentral:rRNA from 1 species
GAACGCUGGCGGCGUGCUUAACACAUGCAAGUCGAACGCUGAAGCUCGCAGCUUGCUGUGGGUGGAUGAGUGGCGAACGGGUGAGUAACACGUGAGUAACCUGCCCCUGACUGCGGGAUAAGCCCGGGAAACUGGGUCUAAUACCGCAUAUGACACUUGGCCGCAUGGUCNGAGUGUGGAAAGUUUUUCGGUUGGGGAUGGGCUCGCGGCCUAUCAGCUUGUUGGUGGGGUAAAGGCCUACCAAGGCGACGACGGGUAGCCGGCCUGAGAGGGCGACCGGCCACACUGGGACUGAGACACGGCCCAGACUCCUACGGGAGGCAGCAGUGGGGAAUAUUGCACAAUGGGGGAAACCCUGAUGCAGCGACGCCGCGUGAGGGAUGACGGCCUUCGGGUUGUAAACCUCUUUCAGUAGGGAAGAAGCCUUUCGAGGUGACGGUACCUGCAGAAGAAGUACCGGCUAACUACGUGCCAGCAGCCGCGGUAAUACGUAGGGUACAAGCGUUGUCCGGAAUUAUUGGGCGUAAAGAGCUCGUAGGCGGUCCGUCGCGUCUGCUUGUGGAAACGCAAGGCUCAACCUUGCGCGUGCAGUGGGUACGGGCGGACUAGAGUGCAGUAGGGGAGUCUGGAAUUCCUGGUGUAGCCGGUGAAAUGCGCAGAUAUCAGGAGGAACACCGGUGGCGAAAGGCGGGGACUCUGGGCUGUACUUGACGCUGGAGGAGCGAAAGCAUGGGGGAGCGAACAAGGAUUAAAAUACCCCUGGUUNGUCCAUGGCCGNAAACGUUGGGCACUAAGGNGUGGGGCUCAUUCCACNGAGUUCCGCGNCGCAACUNACGCNAUUAAGUGCCCCCGC